AACGUAGGAUCCGAGCGUUAUCCGAAUUCACUGGGCGUAAAGCGCGUGUAGGCGGCAUGAUAAGUUGGAUGUAAAAUCUCCUGGCUCAACUGGGAGGGGACGUUCAAUACUGUCAGGCUAGAGGGCGGUAGAGGGAGGUGGAAUUCCCGGUGUAGUGGUGAAAUGCGUAGAUAUCGGGAGGAACACCAGUGGCGAAGGCGGCCUCCUGGACCGCCCCUGACGCUCAGACGCGAAAGCUAGGGGAGCGAACGGG
rnacentral:rRNA from 1 species